GGGGAGAGCCCCCACUCUCUCCUCCCCUAUCGUUGUCCACCAUCCAUCCCUCCAUAAAGGCGAUUCCACGCACCUCGUCUCCCUCACCUCCACCACCUACGGCUCCCUCAGAACCCUAGACGACCCCGAUCCCUCUCUCUCCGCCUCCUCCGCCUCCGCCGCCGCCGUCAUCAGCGCCUGGGGCAUCAUGGAUGGUCUCGACGACCUCCCCUUACCGUCCACCUCCUCCUCCUCCGCCGUCGCCAAGAAGCCCUACUUUCUUCCCCGAUCCCUCACGUACCAUCACCACCGCCGCGCGAUGAAGGCC
rnacentral:lncRNA from 1 species